rnacentral:rRNA from 1 species
GACGAACGCUGGCGGCGUGCUUAACACAUGCAAGUCGAACGGAAAGGCCCCUUUGGGGGUACUCGAGUGGCGAACGGGUGAGUAACACGUGAGUAACCUGCCCUUGACUUCGGGAUAACUUCAGGAAACUGGGGCUAAUACCGGAUAGGAAUCCUUGCUGCAUGGUGGGGGUUGGAAAGCUUCGGCGGUUUUGGAUGGACUCGCGGCUUAUCAGCUUGUUGGUGGGGUAGUGGCUUACCAAGGCUUUGACGGGUAGCCGGCCUGAGAGGGCGACCGGCCACAGUGGGGCUGAGAUACGGCCCAGACUCCUACGGGAGGCAGCAGUGGGGAAUAUUGCACAAUGGGCGGAAGCCUGAUGCAGCAACGCCGCGGGCGGGAUGACGGCCUUCGGGUUGUAAACCGCUUUCAGCAGGGGCGAAGCUUGUGGUGACGGUACCUGCAGAAGAAGCACCGGCUAACUACGUG